GCCUUUUGGAUUUCCUGGGCGCUGCUGGGCAGUCUGAGCACUGAGAGCUCUGCGGGUCUCUGGGCAGGACGAGGCAAAUCAACACGGAGAGAGCAACCUGGUCAAUGAGAAGCACGUCAAUGGAGAUCCCCUCGUGAAUCAACGCUUGGCCUGGAACAAUCAGUUAAGUCUUUUGAUUUCUCGAAUUUGGUUUUCUCACCGAGCUCGGAAGCACCAAAGUGCGCGAUACUCGACGCUGCUUCCGUGCUGCUGGUCUGGAUUCACUGAGACGGCAUUAGAGACGGCAGAAAGAAUUUCAUUCACGUCGAGCAAAGCGCACCAUAAUCUGGAACUUGUUCUCGGGCACAAGCAAGAACAAGUAUGCCGGGAAGACAACUUCGAUGCCAGCAGCCAUUGAUCGAAAGAGCUGCAACAAAAUUCACAGGGCAGGCAUUAAUACACUCGCCAAGUUUUUGCC